rnacentral:rRNA from 1 species
GAUUAACGCUGGCGGCGUGCCUAACACAUGCAAGUCGAACGAAGUAGCGGACGGGAGAGUAACGCGUGAGUAACCUGCCUUAGGGAAGGGGAUAGCCUUUGGAAACGAAGCAUAAUACCCUAUACUCUAAGAUGGACUUGCGUCUGAUUGGUUAGUUGAUGCGGUAACGGCCCACCAAGACAGCGAUCAGUAGCCGGCUGGGGGGAGUGUACGGCCACAUUGGGGCUGGGACAAGGCCCAGACUCUACGGUAGGGAGCAGUGGGGAAUCUUGCAUACUGGGGGAAACCCUGAUGCAGCGACGCCGUGUGAUUUAGAAGGCCUUCGGGUGGUAAAAAUCUUUUAUAUGGGAAGCAGUACCAUAGGAAUAAGGACCGGCUAAUUACGUGCCAGCAGCCGCGGUAAUAC